AUGCCGUUUCGUGUUUGUUGUAUUGCCAAUUGAUCCUAAUCGCAUUGAUGCAAUAGUCUGGCAUUGCUUCUUCUUCUUUCGGCAAAACCUUUUCAUUUAGUCCGGUUCCACACGGGCCUCCUUUUUUGCCCUUUUUGC
ensembl:ncRNA F32A11.8 ncRNA